ensembl:lncRNA
GUAUUAUUAAGGUAUUUGCUCGUGUGUUUGUGUAUCUGCAUAGUACUGUAUGGGAACUGCUGAGUCAUGGUCUGAACCACUAAUUGAGUGCCUGGAGACAAGACCAGGUCAGCCCUGGAAGCGCAGGUGAAGGUAGUUCACAUCUUAGACCUCAUUUAAGGGCUGACUGACACUGAGAAAGGGUCUUUUGCUGGAGAUCCCUCUUCUGUGGAGUUUUUUCUGCAAGCCUAGAUCUUCAGAAAUGGUAUUGUGUUACUGUUGAUGUACCUCAAUGAAACGGAGAGAAAAUUCAAGAAAUAUGAAUUGAUUGUAUGAAGCAACAUAUGCAAAUACUGAAAAUAAAAGCUGCCAACAUUGUGACAGGAAUGGCAUUAGCAGAUGAGUCAGGAGUGUGAUGAAGCCAUAUGGCCUUGUGAUUAUGUUGAAACUAAGGAUAGCUACUCAAGGGAUUACAUGCUCUUCUACUUCUGAGAAUGAAGAAUGUGCACUGUGAGCACUUUAGUGUCCUGGUCAGCUACAUCACCCUUUGCAGCAUCUGUGAAAAUCAAGGAAAGGUUCAAUACUUUCCUCAUGAGGAUAAAUCAUGUAAGAACCAGAAAGAGCACAGGUAAACAGGAUUGAACAGAGACUUUUCUCUGUUUCCAUACCAAUUUCCUAGCACUGAUGAUAUAUUAAUAUAAGAUAAUAUUUCUUUAUCCACAGCAGGUUGAUUGAAUGUGAAAAGUGCAUAUUGGUAAGCAUUGAGAAUAGAAGAUAAAUGCAAUUGAGUUAUAACAUAGGAACAGUCUCACUAGAGAACACAGUAAGAUUAAAUGCUAGAGGAUGUCCAAAAACUAAUCAUGUCCUCUUCCACAGUAGAAAUGCCUAUAACACCAUGCUGAGAUGGUAGUAGCUCAAGUGAGUGCCAUCUGACAACAGUUUAAAAGGUAUUUCUUUGGCUUUCAUCUGACUAAACUUAUCUCAUGAAAAGUCUGUGUUCUGACAAGAACUCAGCAUUGUUAAGAAGGAACCUGGAGAAAAAUCAGAUCACAGAAUCAUAGAAUCAUCGUCUAGUUUAACUGUCCACCUACCACCAAUAUUUCUCCAUUAAACCAUGUCCCUUCGUACAACAUCUAAACAUUUCCUGAACACCUCCAGGGCUGGUGACUCAACCACCUCCCUGGGGAGCCCCUUCCAGUGCCUGACCACUCUUUUGGAGAAUAAUAUUUUCCUAAUAUCCAGCCUGAACCUCCCCGGCAAAACUUGAGGCCAUUCCCUCUAGCACCAUUACUAGUUAUGCUGGAGAAAAGGUUGGCCCCCACCUCACCACAACUUCCUUUCAGGUAGCUGUAGAGCUAUAAGAUCUUCCCUGAACCUCCUCUUCUCCAGACUAAACAAUACACGUUCCCUUAGCCAUUCCUUGUAAGAUUUGUGCUCUAGCCCCCCCCAUGGCCUUUGUUGCCCUUCUCUGGACAAGUUCCAGGGCCUCACUGUCUUUCUGUUAGUGAGGGGUACAAAACUGAACACAGUACUCAAGGUGCUGCUUCACUAGAGCUGAGUACAGACGAACAAUCGCUUUCCUACUCCUACUGGCAACGCUAUUUCUGAUACAAGACAGGAUGCCAUUGACCUCACUGUCCACCUGGGCUCAUGUUCAGCCAAGUGUUGACCAACGCCUCCAGGUAAUUUCUUCCACAUAUUCUUCCAGCUAUCCCAUAUAGACUACUGUCAAGAAUUUCUGACACAUGUUUUUUCUGUAUUUAUUUUGCUUUUUUGUUAGUUUGACCUGCUGCCAUGUUGGCCUGCCAUUUUCUAUAGUGAAUACACAUUGAUUUGGCCUGUUACCAUAUAAAACUGAGCACAUCAGAAGAUGUUUUCUUUAGCCUCUAAUUUGUCUCAGUUGCAGAAAUGCAAGUGCUAGACCUAUAGUGGUAAUCCUCCUCCCACAUCACAGUCAGAUUUGAACCAGAAUGAUGAGUCUUUCCUCCCUGAAUCUGAGUCAUUGCCAUAUAGUCUCCCCACCUACAGAAUGAAGUGAAAAACUGUUUGGGUGAGGUCUAGACUUCUAUCAUAAUAUACGGAGUUUUCAAGUCCACAAUUUUCAAUUCUCUUUUGUAUCUGCAACUCAUCUUAGGUUUCAGCACCCUACUUAGGGAAGGCAGAAAUACAAGGCAGUAGGUUUACUGAGUCAGUGGUUUCCAUUAGUACUGUAUGCUUUGCUAUUUACUUGUGACGGUGGAGUAUGAAUGGGAAUUUGAACUAUUCCUUGAUUUCUCCAUCUUCUUGGUAAGCUGAAGGAAAGAACUAUGGAGAAGUUGUAGUAGUUAGAAUGAGUGACUGAAAUGCAGAACACUGAAAAAGGAAAUGUAAACACAAGUUUUGUGGUAUAAAAGAUACCUGUUUUCUGGUUUGUGUGCACUACAAUGCAUAGCACGGGCAUGGUUAGUUUAUUAGGAUCAAAUGAGGUCUAAAAUAUAUAUGGCUGAAGAAAUUUGUGCAUUCAGGGGAACAAAUGGAACUUUAGCUUUUGAUUUAAAUUAUAUUCAGAUUUGGCUGACUUUUGUAUGUUUAAGUUUUGAUUUUUCCUUUCUUUGGACAAAAUGUCUGUGUUGCUUUUUUUUAAGCCUGAUGAAUAUGGACAUCUUAUUCUCUUUUCUGCUUCAUAAGGAAUAAAGGAAAAACCCCAGAAGAAUCUUUUAUCCUUCGUUCCCUUACGGUACUGAGGAAAUAAUACUCUCCAAAUAUAAAUUUCCACUCCACCUUUCACUUUCAGGAUAUUUGGAAAUCCUGCUUUGAUGGCAAUUUAGUAAGCCCAAGCAUAGACUUUCAGUAGGAAGUCUUUGCUAAAAUCAUCUUAUCUCAUUGUCUGACACCAACAUGAGAUUCUUGAACAAAUAACUUAUUACAGAAUAAUAAUUAAAAAAAAAAAAAAACACAACCAAAGUGAUUCCAUUUGAUUCAACUCUAAGUGCCAAAUCUUUUUCUCCCAUGUUAGGAUCCUAAUCAACGGAAGUACUUAUCUACACUGAAAGCCAAGAGGUUGUCACAUGAAUGCAUUCACAUUCAUUUAUGUAUCAAGUGUAUUACUGUAUAAAAUUACCAGUCAGCACAGACUAGAGCUAUAAAGAAAAUCAGUGCUCAGAAGCAACCUGGGAAUUCAAGGUCCUCUCCUCCACAGCUUGAGCAGGGAGACCAGAUGUUUUCAGCCUCUGAUGUGAGUCAGGGGAAACUCAGCAGCCCACCCUUUCAACAAGGUGAGGUCUCUGCAGCGGGGCCUUGAGAGUGAAAAGGAAGAAUAUGGAAUAAUCUGCUGUGGAAAAAUGAGUGGGAGAAACUGCUUAAUACAAGGACAAGUAGGCCAGUGUUGUUGGAAGUCUUUCAGCGUGAGCCACUUGGCUGUGCCUGUUAAUGAAUAAAUAAAUUGCUACUUUUCUUUUUAAAGGAUGACUAACCAAACUGAGUAUCUGAAAACUACUUUAAAUUUAAACUUUAAUGAGUACUUUAAAAAUGUAUUUUUAUGAUACUAAAACUAAUAUAUACAUUUUUUAAGGAAAAAAAAAAAAAAGAUGAUGUUCUUUAUAUUUAUGCUGCCACUCAUGCUUUGACUCUGAUCACUUAUCUGGAUAAUUAAGCAGUAUCACUGAGGAACUGGAUACCAGAAAUCUGAUAUUAAUCCGUCCCUCUUAAUAGUAACGCAAAAGCCACUGGGGUGGAAAGCAGCCUAGUCUUCUUAAUCCCCUUUUACCAACAUUUCAGCAUCAGCAUAUCUCAUUUAUUUUAAAAAGUGGUUCAAGACACACUAUCAGUGGCUUAAGUCUAAUUUAGGCUUUAAAUCAAAAUAUAUUAAGAAAUUCAAAAAUAGUCAAGAUUACCAAGAUUUCUUGAGGGAAUGAUUCACAACCAGCUCAUGUCCCUUUGACAGGAACAGGGGACGACUGAAUGAUUUUUGCAUGUCUGCAUCGCUUGAAGGUACAACACUUUCUGUUGAAUUAAAAGGAAAAGGCAGGAUUACAGUGGAGACCUUGAGAUCCCACUGCCAUACUUAUCAGGUAUAUGUUGAUGAUACCUGAGCAACUUCUACAGACAAUUUCACCUGCAGGUACUGAAAAGUCCAAGGAUAUUCUUCUCUUUCCCUUGAAUGCAUAUGUCACUGUUCAUGUGAACCUUGUUGCCCACUUCAGUGCCUGCCAGAGUAUUUUUGUUUUUAAUUUCCACACUGUUCUUCAUCCCUUAUUAGUCAGUGAUGAUCCCAAACUCCCCUUUGCAUUUUGAGGUGUCCGGAUUUGGACUCAGCAUGCAUUUAGCUUGACACAAACCACAGCAGAAAUAGUGGUGGAUAACUGACAAAAUAGGAAAGAAGCACCCUUCUCUUCCUCCCUGAUGCGGGAUCCAGAGAAACUGAUGCACACCCAGACUGAAGACUAUACUCAGGUUGUUAUUAGGAGUGCAUGUUGCCAGCUCUAUGGCACGAGUCUGUGCUCAGAUCUUACCUUGCAAUGUGAAGUAUGUCUGAACUUCUGUGGUAACCUCCUCACCUCAGCUGCAGUCUCAAGUGGCUGGAUUUGGUGCAAGGCAUCUUGCUUUUUGAAUCCUACCAUCUAUGGGUGCCAGUGUUGCCUGUGAUACUUGUUUGACUGAAGCUUGAGCACUCUUUAUUAUCAUACCAUUGUAUUAGUUAUUGUCAACAUUCACUUGUGCAUACUGAACCUACCAUACUUUGGGCUUCAGGCAGAAAGAUUAAAACUAUUAUGACAAAAGUAACAGAAAUCAGAUUGUUUAGCCAUCUAAUUUACUCUCGAAUUGAGGCCUUCGAGUUGGAAAGACAUAAGAGUUCACAGACCUUAUUUAAUACUCAUAAAGUUUUCAAAGAGGGUAUAAUGCUGACAGAGGCCAUGUGAAGUUAUAGUAAGUAUGAGGCAUUUUACCUAGUUCUCAUGGCUUUUCCAUCAGAGACAGACAAACAUUAAAACCCAAGAACCUUUUGGAGACUGCUGUUUUCCCAUAUAUAUUUUUUUAAGUGUUAGAGCCACCAAGCACUGUAUAGAUAUGGGAACUAUCACUUAAUAAAAUAAUUAGCCUGCUAUUUCAAGUACAAGGAAUGGCAGCAUGUAGGCAGAAAAGUGAGGUGUUGCCUUUACCUUCCUCUUCAUUUUUACAUUUGUACAAAAACAGGAAAAUAUUUUUAAAGGAUAGGCCAGUAGUGCCACAGGAAUUGAAUUAGAUCAUCUUUAAUUAAUAUGUCAGAAUAUAAGAAAUGAUGAAAAUAUGUAUAAUUAAAUUCUUGAACUAAAAACAGUGUUGUAAAGUGUGACUAAAAUAGAACAGAACAGAGGGUUCUUUUGUUGUUGUUUCUUUUCUUUUCCCCUGUAUUUUUAUUUUAAUUUAAAAUUGUGGGUUCUGGUAUCUUUGCAUUGUAUUGUGAUUAGCUAUUAUAUGCUAGGCUAACGUGGGUAACCCCAAGAAUUACAAACUAUUUGUGAAGAUGAAUAGAAUUUUCCCAGUUCCAUGAGUACAGCGUUACUACCACUGUGUUAGUAGCGCUAGUAGCUUGGCACUGUGGUAACCCAUAUAAAUAACCACAAUCUGCCUGGGACAAAUGCUUGAAAGACCAAAUAUUUUACAUAACUUAAACAUCUAUUUUCAUCUAAAAGCUUCAAUUUUCAAAAUCAGUGAAUGAUUAUGACUUUUCCUGUUUUCCAGGACCCCAAAUCAGACACAAGCUGGUUUUAUUAUCUAAUUUUCAGUGUUUAUGGAAGAUGCAACUUAAUUUAAAAGGUCUGAAUGCCUCUUUUCUUUCCCUGUCGUUCAUGAGAACAAUCAAACAGAUCCUCACAGAUUUCAAGAACCAGAACCCAGCGUGAACACCAGAAUGAUAAGGGGAAACAUUCAGAUGCUUUCAAUGGCAAAAGAAAAUUCAUAAACUGCUUAUAAUGAAGAAGUGAUUGUUGAAAAUUGAGUUUUCUGUUCUUGUACUUUACUGGCAUUCAGCUCUUCAAAGCGAUAGCAAAUAUUCUAUUGGUUAACAUUUAACCCAAACUAAUAGGUCCAAUCUCACAUUCUCAAAUAAAUCAUAAUGUCUUUUCAAUUAGUUUGCACUUUCACUGGCUGCUGUCCUGAAUAAUUAGGAAAACAAUUCACAUUUCACUAGGAGAUGAUAUGAAGUGUUAUUCCUGUGAUAAUUAGCGAGCUGCAGUUCAGCUUCCCUGGCUCCCACCAGGUCAUCAGGGCACAAAAGAGGACACCAUGAGAGCAUUAAUGAGCUCUCAUUGAAGAUGUUAAAAAGCUUGUAUUGAUCUGUUUGUCCAAGAAGGAGAUAUUUAAGCCUUUCUGCUGAGGGCAGGAGAGACAGAGAUUCAUAUCACAAAGCCUUUUAUCCAACCCCUUCUGUUUCUGGCUUCAAUAUUGCCCAGUCUCAGCAUGUCUGGUUCUAGAGGUCAUACUUUUAAACUUUCACAACAUUUUUUUUCUUUUCCCCUUUCUUCUUUUUGUUUAAAAAAAAAAAAAAAAAAAAAAAAAGGAAAGAAAGAAAAAAGGGUAAUAUACAGUGUACACUUAACCUUUACUACAGGGAUCCCUUUACACAGCUCGCUGUUUCUGAGAACAGGCUUCAGUGCAGUAAGAUUUCCGUUCUCACUCUAUCCCGCUCACAUUCAUCUCAAUUAAAUUCAGAGAGUCUAGACAAUACAAGGACCAACUCAGUGCAAAUUUUUGCUCAUAGUUUGGAAGCACAUCCAACAAAAUCACUUUUUUUGGAUGUUCAAUCAGACUUUUCUCUCUAUUGUCACCGCCUUUUUUGUGAACUCCUGGACUUACUAUUUCUAGCUGGAAGUAGAAGUGAAAGAAGUAAGUGUAAGGCUGCAAAAUCACCAUUUCUUGUGGUAUUUUCACAUGAGGUUUCUCACUGCAGGAAAGGGAGGCAAAUCCUGUCCUGCCUUCAACACUCUGCAUUGUUAUGAUAUAUUGCAGCAGUAAACUUGUUCUGGGUACACUUACCUACUCACCAAUUUUGUCUACUCUCUUUUAAGUGCCACAAUGAGCUGUCAGUGAGGAUUCCCAGCCUGCCUGUGAUAGAGUUUGGGAUGAAUUUUCAUAUAACUGUAAAAGCUGUGGGUUUUUUGUUUUGUUUUGUUUUUGUUGUUGCUUUUUAAUUAUUAUCAUCCUUCUUACUUGAACUAGCUAUGGUCUCACUCAGCAAGAUCGUAUCUCUCUUUUCAUAGUAUCUCAUUCACAUUCAACUCUGUAGGAGCAAUUCAGCGGGUCCAUUUGUGUGUAUCCAUUGUAAAUGGCCAAUGAAGUAAUACUCUGGGACCUCUAGAUGAAUGCAGAAUCCUCAGUACACUUCUUUGUUUUUUCAUGGUCUGCCUCACCUGACACAGCAGGCUGGUGGAUGAACCUCACAACCAACAUUGGGAAUUCUGCAGCCUGCUUCUACUUACCUUGUAUCAACUCAAGAUUAUCAGUUUCAGAUGAAAAUAAACAUGAAUGAAUGCACACACAAAUUAUUCUUGCUGUGAUGUGAUGCAGUAAUCUCCAGUUUGGGAACUGAGCUGGCAAAAGAGGUCAUAUGCAUCCUUCCACUUGUGACCAUUUAAAAAAGAUGUGAGGGAACGAUUCAUGAACAAGUAAAAUUGGACAUGGGUAGCAAAUAGUGACCCUCGGUGAGUGACAACUGAGGUUAUGUGGAUGAAUACUAAACAUGAAAAGCCUGAAUUAUUCAUGGGAGGUUCAAGGUAAAAGGGU